GUUUGUGGCUCAGUGGUAGAGCACUCGCCUAGCAUGCGAAGCCCUGGAUUCGAUCCUCAGCAUCACA
rnacentral:tRNA from 1 species